rnacentral:ncRNA from 2 species
CAGGAACCCGGUGCGAAUCCGGGACGGUCCCGCCACUGUGACCGCACGGACGGCGACGUCCGCGCGGGAGUCAGGAACUG